GCCCCCGUAGCUCAGCAGGAUAGAGCGAGCGUUUCCUAAACGCUAGGUCGGGUGUUCGAGUCGCCCCGGGGGCG
rnacentral:tRNA from 1 species